rnacentral:rRNA from 1 species
CCCGCUGAACUUAAGCAUAUCAAUAAGCGGAGGAAAAGAAACUAACAAGGAUUCCCCUAGUAACUGCGAGUGAAGCGGGAAAAGCUCAAAUUUAAAAUCUGGUGGUCUUUGGCUGCCCGAGUUGUAAUCUAGAGAAGUGUUAUCCGCGCUGGACCGUGUACAAGUCUCCUGGAAUGGAGCGUCAUAGAGGGUGAGAAUCCCGUCUUUGACACGGACUACCAGGGCUUUGUGAUGCGCUCUCAAAGAGUCGAGUUGUUUGGGAAUGCAGCUCUAAAUGGGUGGUAAAUUCCAUCUAAAGCUAAAUAUUGGCGAGAGACCGAUAGCGAACAAGUACCGUGAGGGAAAGAUGAAAAGAACUUUGGAAAGAGAGUUAAACAGUACGUGAAAUUGUUGAAAGGGAAACGCUUGAAGUCAGUCACGUCGGCCAGGGAUCAACCUUGCUUUUCUGCUUGGUGUACUUUCUGGUUGAUGGGUCAGCAUCAAUUUUGACCAGUGGAGAAAGGUCAGGGGAAUGUGGCAUCUUCGGAUGUGUUAUAGCCCUUGGUUGCAUACAUUGGUUGGGAUUGAGGAACUCAGCACGCCGCAAGGCCGGGUUUUUAUUAACCACGUACGUGCUUAGGAUGUUGGCAUAAUGGCUUUAAUCGACCCGUCUUGAAACACGG